rnacentral:rRNA from 1 species
AAAUUGAAGAGUUUGAUCAUGGCUCAGAUUGAACGCUGGCGGCAGGCCUAACACAUGCAAGUCGAACGGUAACAGGAAUCAGCUUGCUGAUUCGCUGACGAGUGGCGGACGGGUGAGUAAUGUCUGGGAAACUGCCUGAUGGAGGGGGAUAACUACUGGAAACGGUAGCUAAUACCGCAUAACGUCGCAAGACCAAAGAGGGGGACCUUCGGGCCUCUUG